AACGAACGCUGGCGGCAUGCCUAACACAUGCCAGUCGAACGAGACCUUCGGGUCUAGUGGCGCACGGGUGCGUAACGCGUGGGAAUCUGCCCUUCGGUUGGGAAUAACUGAGAGAAAUUUCAGCUAAUACCUUAUAAUGUCUUCGGACCAAAGAUUUAUCGCCGAGGGAUGAGCCCGCGUAGGAUUAGGUAGUUGGUGGGGUAAUGGCCUACCAAGCCGACGAUCCUUAGCUGGUCUGAGAGGAUGAUCAGCCACACUGGGACUGAGACACGGCCCAGACCCCGCGGGGGGGCAGCGGUGGGAAAGAUGGACAAAGGGGAGAAGGCCGAACCCAGCAUUGCCGCGGGAGUGAAAAGGCCUUAGGGGUGGAAAAUCUUUUUUCCCGGGGAUGAUAAGAAGAGGCCGGGAAAAAAAAGCCCCGGCAACCCCGGUC
rnacentral:rRNA from 1 species